GGCCCCGGCUCAGGGGUAGAGCAUUUGCUUUGCAUGCAGAAGCUCCUAGGUUCAACCCCUGGCUUUUCCAGGGAGGGCUG